rnacentral:tRNA from 3 species
CCAAGGGUGUCCGAGUGGUUUAUGGUGCCAGCCUGCGAAGCUGGUACAGGUGAAAGCCUGUCGUGGGUUCGAAUCCCAUCCCUUCCGCAA